GUCGAGCGAUUUACUUCGGUAAAGAGCGGCGGACGGGUGAGUAACGCGUGGGUAACCUGCCCUAUACACGCGGAUAACAUACCGAAAGGUAUGCUAAUACGAGAUGACAUAAGAGAUUCGCAUGGAUUUCUUAUCAAAGCUUUUGCGGUAUAGGAUGGACCCGCGUCUGAUUAGCUAGUUGGUAAGGUAACGGCUUACCAAGGCGACGAUCAGUAGCCGACCUGAGAGGGUGAUCGGCCACAUUGGAACUGAGACACGGUCCAAACUCCUACGGGAGGCAGCAGUGGGGAAUAUUGCACAAUGGGCGAAAGCCUGAUGCAGCAACGCCGCGUGAGCGAUGAAGGCCUUCGGGUCGUAAAGCUCUGUCCUCAAGGAAGAUAAUGACGGUACUUGAGGAGGAAGCCCCGGCUAACUACGUGCCAGCAGCCGCGGUAAUACGUAGGGGGCUAGCGUUAUCCGGAAUUACUGGGCGUAAAGGGUGCGUAGGUGGUUUCUUAAGUCAGAGGUGAAAGGCUACGGCUCAACCGUAGUAAGCCUUUGAAACUGAGAAACUUGAGUGCGGGAGAGGAGAGUAGAAUUCCUAGUGUAGCGGUGAAAUGCGUAGAUAUUAGGAGGAAUACCAGUUGCGAAGGCGGCUCUCUGGACUGUAACUGACACUGAGGCACGAAAGCGUGGGGAGCAAACAGGAUUAGAUACCCUGGUAGUCCACGCCGUAAACGAUGAGUACUAGCUGUCGGAGGUUACCCCCUUCGGUGGCGCAGCUAACGCAUUAAGUACUCCGCCUGGGAAGUACGCUCGCAAGAGUGAAACUCAAAGGAAUUGAC
rnacentral:rRNA from 1 species